rnacentral:rRNA from 2 species
GGCUCAGAUUGAACGCUAGCGGGAUGCCUUACACAUGCAAGUCGAACGGCAGCACGGACUUCGGUCUGGUGGCGAGUGGCGAACGGGUGAGUAAUGUAUCGGAACGUGCCUAGUAGCGGGGGAUAACUACGCGAAAGCGUAGCUAAUACCGCAUACGCCCUACGGGGGAAAGCAGGGGAUCGUAAGACCUUGCACUAUUAGAGCGGCCGAUAUCGGAUUAGCUAGUUGGUGGGGUAAUGGCUCACCAAGGCGACGAUCCGUAGCUGGUUUGAGAGGACGACCAGCCACACUGGGACUGAGACACGGCCCAGACUCCUACGGGAGGCAGCAGUGGGGAAUUUUGGACAAUGGGGGAAACCCUGAUCCAGCCAUCCCGCGUGUGCGAUGAAGGCCUUCGGGUUGUAAAGCACUUUUGGCAGGAAAGAAACGCCGCGGGUUAAUACCCUGCGGAACUGACGGUACCUGCAGAAUAAGCACCGGCUAACUACGUGCCAGCAGCCGCGGUAAUACGUAGGGUGCAAGCGUUAAUCGGAAUUACUGGGCGUAAAGCGUGCGCAGGCGGUUCGGAAAGAAAGAUGUGAAAUCCCAGAGCUUAACUUUGGAACUGCAUUUUUAACUACCGAGCUAGAGUGUGUCAGAGGGAGGUGGAAUUCCGCGUGUAGCAGUGAAAUGCGUAGAUAUGCGGAGGAACACCGAUGGCGAAGGCAGCCUCCUGGGAUAACACUGACG